GAUGAACGCUGGCGGCGUGCCUAAUACAUGCAAGUCGAGCGAACAGACGAGGAGCUUGCUCCUCUGACGUUAGCGGCUGACGGGUGAGUAACACGUGGAUAACCUACCUCUAAGACUGGGAUAACUUCGGGAAACCGGAGCUAAUACCGGAUAAUAUAUUGAACCGCAUGGUUCAAUAGUGAAAGACGGUUUUGCUGUCUCUUAUAGAUGGAUCCGCGCCGCAUUAGCUAGUUGGUAAGGUAACGGCUUACCAAGGCAACGAUGCGUAGCCGACCUGAGAGGGUGAUCGGCCACACUGGAACUGAGACACGGUCCAGACUCCUACGGGAGGCAGCAGUAGGGAAUCUUCCGCAAUGGGCGAAAGCCUGACGGAGCAACGCCGCGUGAGUGAUGAAGGUCUUCGGAUCGUAAAACUCUGUUAUUAGGGAAGUACAAAUGUGUAAGUAACUAUGCACGUCUUGACGGUACCUAAUCAGAAAGCCACGGCUAACUACGUG
rnacentral:rRNA from 1 species